GAUGAACGCUGGCGGCGUGCCUAACACAUUCAAGUCAACGGGCAGUAGCGAUACUGUCAGUGGCGACGGGUGAGUAAUACAUGAGCAACCUGCCUUAAAAGGGGGAUAACACUGGAAACCGGUGCUAAUACCGCAUGACGCAUAGAGAGGCAUCUCCUUAUGCCAAAGGAGCAAUCCGCUUUAAGAUGGGCUCAUGUCUGAUUAGAUAGUUGGUGGGGUAACGGCCCACCAGGGCGACGAUGGCUAGGGGGUCUGAGAGGACGAUCCCCCACACUGGUACUGAGACACGGACCAGACUCCUAACGGGAGGCAGCAGUGAGGAAUAUUGGUCAAUGGGCGGAAGCCUGAACCAGCCAUGCCGCGUGCAGGAUGACGGCCCUACGGGUUGUAAACUGCUUUUCCCCGGGGCGAAUAACCCCCUCGCGAGGGGGGAUGCCGGUACCGGGGGAAUAAGGAUCGGCUAACUCCGUG
rnacentral:rRNA from 1 species